AAUAGAUACCCCGGGUAGUCCACGCCGUAAACGAUGAGUGCUAGGUGUCGGAGGGGUCCCACCCUGCGGUGCCGAAGUUAACACAUUAAGCACUCCGCCUGGGGAGUACGAUCGCAAGACUGAAACUCAAAGGAAUUGACGGGGACCCGCACAAGCAGUGGGGUAUGUGGUUUAAUUCGAAGCAACGCGAAGAACCUUACCAGGUCUUGACAUCCCUCUGACCGGUCUAGAGAUAGGCCCUUCCUUCGGGACAGAGGAGACAGGUGGUGCAUGGUUGUCGUCAGCUCGUGUCGUGAGAUGUUGGGUUAAGUCCCGCAACGAGCGCAACCCUUGAUUCUAGUUGCCAGCACGUGAUGGUGGGCACUCUAGAGUGACUGCCGGUGACAAACCGGAGGAAGGCGGGGAUGACGUCAAAUCAUCAUGCCCCUUAUGACCUGGGCUACACACGUACUACAAUGGCCGGUACAACGGGCUGCGAAGGAGCGAUCCGGAGCCAAUCCUACCAAAGCCGGUCUCAGUUCGGAUUGCAGGCUG
rnacentral:rRNA from 1 species